AAGCUACCUGCAAAAGGGAGACGUUUAUUGAAUUAACUAAUUACUUCUCCAAAUACACUCGAGCGAAUCUCCAACGUGCAAAAAGGUAUGCCGACAUUGAAACCGCUUUUAAUUCAAUGUAGAUAGAAGAGGAAGAUAAAAAAAGAGAGAGAAGACGGAAACGCGUCAGAUGUUUCAGCAAAGAUUUCUGCCAAUGAAAGAAGCAACCGACUCAACGCGAAACGUCCUCUUCUUAUCAAUUAAAACAUUGCACUUGCGAGUCAGAAACGAAGCAUAAAUUUUCCAACUAUCUCAUCGUUUUGUUAUCAGUGAACGUGAGCGAAUGAAUGGGGAAGCGCGAAAAGUCGAACAUCGUGAAGAGGAGUUAGGAGGGAAGAGGUGGGAAGGAAAAGAUGAAAAGGAAGAAGAGAAGUGUAAGAAAAAAAGGAUGAACUGAAAAGACGGAAGAAAGUUUGCGAGCGUAUCGUAAUGUUAGGCAAGAAGUUAGUGAUGUACUAAAAAUAUAUAUGUAAAAAAAAAGACAAAAGAUACACACACGUGUUCACGCAUAUAUAUACAUAAAUACGUAUACGAGCAAAGAGAGAAAAAGAGGGAGAAAAAAACAAGUCAACGUCGAAUCCAUCCUAACAGCCCGUACAUUUUCGUCCUCGAUACGAUAAGACAAAGUUGUGGCCACAUAGAAGAAUAACACGGUCGAGACAAACGCCUAAAGGGAGUCUCUUAUUUUCUUUUCUCUUCACACGAAUUACACCAAAGCCGAUUUUUUCCACGCGAAGAGUCGCCUGUGUGCCUGCUCUUUUUCUUUCUGCCGAAGAUCCUCUUCUCUUAAGACAACGAUCCUUCGAGAGCUUAGAGAUAUUCGUCUAAAGUCACGGUUAAAUCUACCAACGUUGAGUCAAUACGAGAUUUAGGAUUAACCUGAAUUCUUCCGGCUUCCUUCGUUUCUUCGUCUCUAACUCGUCGAAUUUCCAGUCCCGUGCUUUUGGAUUAUCUCGGUCAAACCAGUUGUUCUCUUUCGGAUUUUCUACUGCAGCUUGCAGACAUAAAUAAAUACACCCAUACAGUACA
rnacentral:lncRNA from 1 species